rnacentral:lncRNA from 1 species
CAUCCUGGAUACCACAUUACCUUUAGUCGUCAUUUGUCCUAAGGAUCCUUUUGGCUGUGACAGUUUUUCAGACUUUGCUUUUGCUGGCCUUGAAAGUUUCAAAGAGUACUCAUCAGAAAUAUCUGUAGAAUUUCAUUAGAAAUACAAAUCUCAGUGAUAUAACACUGGCCUGAGGACCUGGGUAGAAGUGAACCUCAAGAAAGCAAACCCUGCCUUUCCUCUCUGCCUCAUAUUUAUGAAGGCUGAUCAUUCUGCAGUGAAAAUCUGGAUGCACCCAGAAUCCACCACUUCCCAUCUCUUCUGCUGCUACCAUUCUGGUCCAAGCCACCAUCAUCACCUGCCCUGGAUUAUUACAAUAGACUCCAAAUUGGUCUGUUAACCCAAUGGCCAGGUGAUCCUUUUGAAUUUCAAGUUGGAUUAUGUCACUAGUCUGUGCUCUCUUUCCCUCUCUCUCUCAACUCUUCAUGUCAUUACAAGUACACAUCAAAGUCCUUACAGUGGUCUCCAAGGCCCUGCACAGUCCAUGACCCUUUUUCCCUUACUUUCCUGAUGUCACCUCCACCUCCACUUCUCGCGGUUUACUUAACUCAGCCUCUCAAGCCUCUUCAGGAUACCCCACACAUGCCAAGUCUCUUCCUACUGUAGAUCCUUUGGACCAGCAGUUCCCUCUUCCUGUGACAUCUUCUCCCCUCUCCCAUACAAUUUUCAUCAUUUAUUCCUUUAUCUCUUUCCAAUCUUUGGCUGCCCUAUUUAGAACUGCAACUCUUCCUCUACCCCAGUAGUGCUGACACCCCUUAACCU